rnacentral:rRNA from 1 species
AUACGGAGGAUGCGAGCGUUAUCCGGAUUUAUUGGGUUUAAAGGGAGCGUAGGCGGGAGCUUAAGUCAGCGGUUAAAUGGUGCGGCUCAACCGUGCCCUGCCGUUGAAACUGGGUUUCUUGAGAGUGCAAGAGGCGGAUGGAAUUCAUGGUGUAGCGGGGAAAUGCUUAGAUAUCAUGAAGAACUACGAUUGCGAAGGCAGUCCGCUGGGGCACGUCUGACGCUCAUGCACGAAAGUGCGGGGAUCGAACAGGAUUAGAUACCCUGGUAGUCCGCACAGUAAACGAUGAAUACUUGUUUUCGGCGAUAUAAUGUCGGAGGCAAAGCGAAAGCGAUAAGUAUUCCACCUGGGGAGUACGCCGGCAACGGUGAAACUCAAAGGAAUUGGCGGGG